rnacentral:rRNA from 1 species
UACGUAGGGGGCAAGCGUUGUCCGGAAUCAUUGGGCGUAAAGCGCGUGUAGGCGGCUUGGUCAGUCAGCUGUGAAAGUCCAGGGCUCAACCCUGGGAUGCCGGUUGAUACUGCCAAGCUCGAGUCCGGAAGAGGAGUGUGGAAUUCCUGGUGUAGCGGUGAAAUGCGCAGAUAUCAGGAGGAACACCAAUGGCGAAGGCAGCACUCUGGGACGUGACUGACGCUGAGACGCGAAAGCGUGGGGAG